AGUCGAACGGCAGCACAGUAAGAGCUUGCUCUUAUGGGUGGCGAGUGGCGGACGGGUGAGGAAUACAUCGGAAUCUACCUUUUCGUGGGGGAUAACGUAGGGAAACUUACGCUAAUACCGCAUACGACCUUCGGGUGAAAGCAGGGGACCUUCGGGCCUUGCGCGGAUAGAUGAGCCGAUGUCGGAUUAGCUAGUUGGCGGGGUAAAGGCCCACCAAGGCGACGAUCCGUAGCUGGUCUGAGAGGAUGAUCAGCCACACUGGAACUGAGACACGGUCCAGACUCCUACGGGAGGCAGCAGUGGGGAAUAUUGGACAAUGGGCGCAAGCCUGAUCCAGCCAUACCGCGUGGGUGAAGAAGGCCUUCGGGUUGUAAAGCCCUUUUGUUGGGAAAGAAAAGCAGCUGGCUAAUACCCGGUUGUUCUGACGGUACCCAAAGAAUAAGCACCGGCUAACUUCGUGCCAGCAGCCGCGGUAAUACGAAGGGUGCAAGCGUUACUCGGAAUUACUGGGCGUAAAGCGUGCGUAGGUGGUUGUUUAAGUCUGUUGUGAAAGCCCUGGGCUCAACCUGGGAAUUGCAGUGGAUACUGGGCGACUAGAGUGUGGUAGAGGGUAGUGGAAUUCCCGGUGUAGCAGUGAAAUGCGUAGAGAUCGGGAGGAACAUCCAUGGCGAAGGCAGCUACCUGGACCAACACUGACACUGAGGCACGAAAGCGUGGGGAGCAAACAGGAUUAGAUAC
rnacentral:rRNA from 1 species